AUCUUUGCGCUUGGGGCAAUGACGCAGCUAGUGAGGUUAUAACCGAGGCGCGUCAAUUGCUGGUUGAAAACUAUUUCCAAACCCCCUCUUUGGCCUGGGUUUGGCCUUGGCCAUUGAGAAUUUCUGGAAGGGUUUCCUCCGGGGUAAAGCC
rnacentral:snRNA from 1 species